rnacentral:lncRNA from 1 species
UAGAGCAAUAUAAAGGUUUGAAUCUGCUUCCACGAGGAGCGCUAUGUUCAUCUGCUGUAAGUGAAUCCAUUGUUAGCAGCUUUGAUUUUGGUCUAAAAAGUGUCGUAAAAUCUGAAAAUUUUCAAACGAUAGAAGAUGAAGGUUUCCGAUUUUUUCUGUAAUUUUGGGGAUUUUGAAAUUGGAAGAGUUCUGGUGGUAGCAGGUGGUGAUGGGGGUGGGGGAUGGCUCUAGAGAGAGAGUGGUUAGAUAUAUAAUAAUAUGUAAUUUAUUUUGUUUUAAUUAUUAAUAUGGAUUUUUAAAAUAAAUAUGUAAAAAGACCAAGAUACCCUCAUGUGCAAGUCACAUGAUCAUAUUUAACAAAAAAGUCUGACUGAGUUAGGGCUAAAGGACAUAAUAUGCAGGAUUUUGAAACGUUAAGGACAAAACUCGUCAAAUUUAAAGACAAAGGACACCGCCUGUAAUUUGGUACAAACAUAAAGUACAAAACUUGUAAUUUACUCUUUUAUGUAAAUGUAAAAAGUACAAAAAGUAAAUACUUGUUAACCAUUACUCAAAAAAUUGAAUGAUUUGGUUUGCUAUUUGUAUUUUUUUUCCUUUUCUUGUUAUAAAUUUUGAUAAAUAAAAAACCCCCUUUAU